rnacentral:rRNA from 1 species
AACAGGAUUAGAUACCCUGGUAGUCCACACAGUAAACGAUGUAUACUCGCGGUUUGCGAUAGACAGUAAGCCGCCAAGCGAAAGCAUUAAGUAUACCACCUGGGGAGUACGCCGGCAACGGUGAAACUCAAAGGAAUUGACGGGGGCCCGCACAAGCGGAGGAACAUGUGGUUUAAUUCGAUGAUACGCGAGGAACCUUACCCGGGCUUGAACUAGGAGUGACGAAUCUAGAGAUAGAUUUUUCUUCAGACACUCUUGGAGGUGCUGCAUGGUUGUCGUCAGCUCGUGCCGUGAGGUGUCGGCUUAAGUGCCAUAACGAGCGCAACCCUUUUCCUUGGUUGCCAUCAGGUAACGCUGGGCACUCCAGGGAUACUGCCAUCGUAAGAUGUGAGGAAGGUGGGGAUGACGUCAAAUCAGCACGGCCCUUACGUCCGGGGCUACACACGUGUUACAAUGGGGGGUACAGAAGGUCGCUACCUGGUGACAGGAUGCUAAUCUCAAAAACCUCUCCCAGUUCGGAUUGGAGUCUGCAACCCGACUCCAUGAAGCUGGAUUCGCUAGUAAUCGCGCAUCAGCCAUGGCGCGGUGAAUACGUUCCCGGGCCUUGUACACACCGCCCGUCAAGCCAUGAAAGCCGGGGGUGCCUGAAAGCCGUGACCGCAAGGGUCGGCCUAGGGUAAAACUGGUGAUUGGGGCUAAGUCGUAACAAGGUAACC